rnacentral:lncRNA from 1 species
AAAAAGGCUUUCGCCCCGCUUUAUAUAUAAAGCACAGAUCACCAACAACCCAGUACAGCACACGCCACCAACACACACGCACACACCCAAGGCAGGAUACAAAGGCGCUGAGCACAGCAACACCACCCCUAGCACUACAAGAGCCACCGGGGGCCUUAAACGUGAACACGCCACCGUGAAGAGAAGAAGCUACAUACGACGCUCCGUGGGCUCCAAGGCAGUGCCAACAGGAAGGUUACGACACUGAAGCGCCGCCACCGCCCGACCCAAGGAUCAGGGUUUCCCCCGGAGCAACACGACGGGCAGCGAGAGUCGCGGCGACGCCUUCAAGAAGGGAACGAGCUUCGCCAUCGCCGGUCAGUCCGAAGAUAGAACAGGUUCUCACCCCGACCAAUAUUCACCGCCACCGAACGCCGCACCCUGGCUACCACGCCGCCCACACGGCCAUGGCCACCAGGCAACACCAAGUCACGGGCUUUGCCCAGGAGCACCGCGACACCACCACCAGGGCCGCCGCCCCCAGCAUCCAUGACCUUGACGCCACCGCACCCGUCACCCACCGCUACCCCAACCAAAGAGAUGAAUGGAAAGGAACCGCCUUUCGCACUCCUGAGCACUCCCCAGCGUCGAGACCCGAAGUCCGGCCAAACCUGGCCACCAUCGACCCGUCCUGCUGCCGGGCGCGAGACGAGCUCGGUCCUGCAGCCGGGCGCGAGACAAGUCAGAUCCUGCUGCCGGGCGCGAGACGGGCUCGGUCCUGCUGCCGGGCGCGAGACGAGUCCGGUCCUGCUGUCGGGCGCGAGACGAGCUCGGUCCUGUCGCCGGGCGCGAGACGGGCGAUGGGCGCCGCUGGGAGAGGGCCAACCCUUCGAUGAAGGUAGCGCUUGAACGACGGGGAGAGGAAUCGAAGGUCGUCAAGGGCGCUCACCGACAGGCAGACGCCGAAGAAGUCCAGCCGCCACCUUGAAACGACCCAGACCACCGCCACGGGCCACCACCACGCCGUGGAACCCCACAUCCACGCCGGGACCCCGAGGGACUGCUCCGAGCCGCCUGCUGACGGCCCAGUGCCAGAUCCAAGGAGCAGGCCGGCAACCGCCGUCGUCCCCUCCCGAAUCCGCGACCAGGACGAGCCCCGGCCUCCGCCCUGCGCCACCAGCCGGGUCCCCGGCGACAAAUCCAGCCAGAUCUGGCCGGAAACCGGCUCGCCCGCAACCACCAGCACCGCCGCCGCCGCGUCAGAUCCGCCGCCGCGUCAGAUCCGCCGCCGCCACGGGUGCGCCCACCACCGCGAGGCCCUCCACGCCGCCACCCCGGACCAGCAGCCCCGCCGCCGGACCAAGCGGCCACGCCACCGCGCCCCUCGAAAGCGCAGCGCCGCUGUCCGAGCAGGGCGCCCCGCGCCGCUGCCGCCCGAGCAGGGAGAGAC